rnacentral:rRNA from 1 species
GUGGGGAAUUUUGGACAAUGGGCGCAAGCCUGAUCCAGCGACGCCGCGUGGAGGACGAAGGCCUUCGGGUUGUAAACUCCUUUUGGAGGGGAAGAAUAAAUUGACGGUACCCUCAGAAAAAGCCACGGCUAACUACGUGCCAGCAGCCGCGGUAAUACGUAGGUGGCGAGCGUUACUCGGAAUUACUAGGCGUAAAGCGUAUGUAGGUGGUUAGAUAAGUCUAUGGUGAAAUUUCCUGGCUUAACUGGGAAGGGACAUAGAUACUAUCUGGCUUGAGUGUGGGAGGGGGAGACGGAAUUCCUGGUAUAGCGGUGAAAUGCGUAGAUAUCAGGAGGAACACCGAUGGCGAAAGCAGUCUCCUGGCCCAAUACUGACACUGAGGUACGAAAGCUAGGGUAGCAAACAGGAUUAGAAACCCUUGUAGUCC